rnacentral:tRNA from 1 species
GGUUGUGGCUCAGUGGUAGAGCGCAUGCCUUGCAUGUCUGAGACACUGGGUUCAAUCCUCAGCACCA